rnacentral:rRNA from 1 species
AAGGAGUCUAACGCGCGCGCGAGCGAGAGGGCGAGAGGCCCAUCCGCGCAACGAAAGCGAAUGGCGGGACGCUCUCCCGCAGGGGGGCGGCGCCGCCGGCCGGACGUCCUCGAGGCGGACCGAGCCGGAGCGCUCGCGUCGGGACCCGAAAGGUGGUGAUCUAUCCGUGCGCGCGGCGAAGCCGGGGGAAACCCCGGUGGAGGCCCGUCGACGGUACUGACGUGCAAAUCGUUCGUCCGACGUGCGAAUAGGGGCGAAAGACCAAUCGAACCUCCUAGUAGCUGGUUUCCGCCGAAAUUUCCCUCAGGAUAGCGGCCAUCGCGGAAACGUUUUGACCGGUAGAGCGAACGACUAGAGGUACCGGGGCCGUAACGGCCUCGACCUAUUCUCGAACUCCGAACGGGCAAGGAGCCGGGGGUCGCCCCGAUCGGACCCCGGACGUGAAGUCGACGAUGGUCGGUGGGCUGGUUUUGGUAAGCAGAACGGGCGAUUCGGGAUGAACCGGAAGCGGGAGAAAGGGCCGAGAUUGCGUCGACGCGGAUCCCGAAAAGGGCGUCGAUCCGUCGCGACAGCGGGACGGUG